rnacentral:lncRNA from 1 species
UCAAAACCUCACAGCAAGUUCAGCAACCGAUCGCAACAGACUGAUGGUUACAACGGCUUCAUCUACAUUUCUGAAAUGGGGUAUUAAUGUCAAAAGGUCAGUGAUAUCACCAUAGUACUCGAGCUGAUUUCCAUCUUACACCAUUCAUUUCCCGUUUCUCUUCACCUUUUUGAAGCUUUUUGUAGCAUGAGCUAAAAGCAACAAAACAAGGUGAUAAAACCACUACAGCAAAGCUGUCAUCAAUGCCACUUUAAUCAUGUCUUAGUAAAUUUGUAGCAAUUACUUGUAACAGACGAGAUGAGGCCAAAAAUUAAGAUAAUCAGGCCAGUAAUAUGUUCUGGCGUGUCAAUUCCCACCUGCAAGGAAAAAGAUUCCUUAGCUAUAAUGAGAUGCAACUAUAAGACUGCUAGAAACUAAAGGCAAGUAACAGUUCACCAAAUGUUUACUACCACUUCACAUUCUUUUAAAACAUGAAAAAACAAUUGCAAAAAGUGUGAAGAUAGUUAAAUGUGUAUUUUAUUGAAUAUUAAACCCUAUAUAUCCAAGUUUUUUAAAAUAGAAAAAAUAAACCAUUAAUUAUAUUAAUUAUAUAUGGUAUGUUUUACUCUAAUGCUCUUUAACCUAAUGACAAACUCUCUUUAACACUCCCCCUCAAAUUGAUAGAUAAAUAUUGUUCAUCCUCAGCUUGCUAAUAAUAGUGCGCAUGUUAGAUUGUUUGACUUUUAAUCAACACAUUUGCAAGCUAAGAGCUAGUCGGCAUAUACAGGUACAUUCGCCGUCUAUUUUUUCUUUGAUGAAAUGUUUGCCAACUUCAAUAUAUUUGGCUCCAUCAUGUUGCACCCGGUUAUGGGCAAUGCUUACGGCCAAUUUAUUUUCACAGUAUACGUACAUGAAGUUGUUCUCAUGCGAUUUUUAGAUCUUCUAAAAUUCUCUUUAACUAUAGUAAUUCACAUACUCUUUGAGCUAUUGCUUGAAAUUCUAAUUUUGCAAUCAACCUUACAACUACAUUUUGCUUCUUACUCCUCCACAUAUCCACGUUACUCCUAAAGAAGAUACAAUAACUCGUAAUAGGUCUUCUAUCCACCAUUGAUUCUAUGUAGUCUACAUCCGUAUAGACUUCUAUGAGUAAUUUGUCAUUCUUUCUAAAUAUUAUCAUCUCUCAUAUGACCAUUUUAGGUAAUGCAACACUCUAUAGGUUGUCUGUAAGUAUACUUCUUUAUGGUUGUGCAUGAACUGACUUAUGACACUUAAUUCCGUAGGUUAUUUCAAAAAUAAAAUACUUAAUGGCGUAGGUGAUAUCAGAUCUUGUAUGUAACAAGUAUAUCAGUCUCCCAACUAAUCUCUAACACAUUUUCUUAUCUCCUAACUUAUCAUCUUCUAUCUGUCCUAGUUUAUGAUUGAAAUCUUUAGGAGUACUAACUGACUUACAUGCUAGUUUGUUUAUACCUCUUAAUAAGUCAUGAAAGUAUUUCUGGGAGAUAAAGAUCCUUAUUUUAAGCGGGCGACUUCAACUCUCAGAAAGUACUUUCAAUUACCUAAUUUCUUGAUUUUGAAUUCUCUAAUUAAACAUCACUUAAACGUCAAUUUACCUUUUUCAUCAUUCCUUUGUUAUAAUAAUAUCAUUAACAGUUACUAAGAGCGCGAUAAAUCCCCUUAUCUCAAAAUUCUUGAUAAAUAAAGUGCGGUCUCCUUGAGUUGCUUGUCUCCCAAGCCUGUCAUUGCCCUUGAAAAUCUACAAAACUAUGUUCUAGGCGAUUGUUUAAAUACAUAAAAUGUCUUCUUCAAUUCACAAACUUUAUACGGUCCUACCCUCUGUUAUAGUUGCUAAUCAAAAUAAGUAGCUAAAGAUAGCAAGAUCCACACCGUGUUCAUGUGGCAGUAAGUAUAGUUCUUGAGAACAUAUGUAGCAGUAAGAACGUUUCACCUUAAUAUUGUUUUGGGAUAUGAUUUUAAAAUAUAAAAACUCUAUCGGUCAACAAGAAGGUAACAAUUCUGACGUUCCGCCACUUUGUUCUAUUGUGGAGUGUAGAAGUAUGACCAUUCAUGGAUAAUCUCCUUUUAGUGGAAAAAUGAGGAGAUUGUGUGAUUAGAAAAGUAUUUUACAUUAUAAGUGUGAAAUCAUUUUAUAUGAAUUCUAAAUUGGGUUUUUACCAUUUUGCAAAAAUGGGGCAUUAUGUGGCUACCAUCUGAUUUGGAUUUUGAGUACAAAAAUCUAUGUAAUAUUAGUGCAAUCACCAAUAAACUACACAAACAAUCGAGCCCAAGAAAUAUUGAGAAUAUGAGAUAACUUCCAAAUAUCACUAUGGAUUAAAGAAAAUGGAAUCAUACUUCUUUUAUUGUUGUUAGAAAAUUGCACAUGCUUAUGUUUGGCUAACUCACAUAAAUCGCUACGUGAAUUCCCAUAUCAAAAUUUUUAAAUAACAGAGAAAACAUAACAUUUGAAAUGAAAAAGAAUGGAUGGCCAAGAAAUUUAUGGUAGAGCCAGAACUUGUGUGGUUAGGGUUGGUGGAAAUAGCAAAAAGAGUUCACCAUAUGUAUCAAAGUAAUAUAAUCUGUUUCUAAUCUCAGUACGUCCAAUCAUUUACCCGAGUUCUAAUGAAGUUAGAAAGAGAAAAAAAGAAUGUUACCUUGCAAUUCAAAUUUUGUGAUAAUUUGAUGGCUAACACAAGAUUUGUACAUAGUUUAAGAACAUGCAACACAUUUUUAAGAACAGGUAGGACUCAGCUUGAUGUGGUCCUUCCUAGCAAUGUGCCUAGAGAAUCAUCCAUCGUGAUUAUUGUCCUACUACUGGGGCAUGACACAUACAUAUAAAAGUAUUUAAAAGUAUUUGUCACAUUAUCAGUGGCCCUGAAUCUACUAUCUAUGAGUUUCUAAACGGUCGAUAUAAUACAUUAAAACCAUGCAAGAAAAAAGAUAUGUCUGAGUGUUUCAUCUAACCUGUACCUGUGGAUUUCUAAAGAUCUUCUAAUCUGCUUUACAAUCAUUUUAUCUCAGCCUUAAAUUCCCUGAGAUCACUAAUUUGGUCUUCCCCCUUCUGAUGGGCCAUAUAGGCUAUCUAUGAGACUUUUGUAGAGUGCUCUGUAACAACAAUCCUUGCUUGAGGUAUUGAGUUUGUCAUGGAGUUCCAAACAUUUAGUUUUGGUGGCUGACAUUUUGCAAAAAGUACACCAAAUAUUAUUCCUAUUAUUGACAAUGAGCUUGAAAUUUCCUGCUUGGCUUAGCUCCUUUAUCUGUUGGCAUGGGUUGGGGCCUUUGGAGAUUAGUGUUGAGCUGGUGGUUGACCUAAAUUCUAAUAUGAUCUCUCCUACUCUCUUCUGCUAAUACAAUAGUAAUUGCCUCAUUUCGUAAUGAUAUUUCGUCUUUACUUAAGAUUUGAAUCCGUACUUGAUCAAACUCCUGUUUGAGACUUGCCAAAAACUUAUAAGCCCGAUAUUUAUCCACAAACUAUUUUAGGCAGGCUGCAUUCUUACUGCAGCCUAUUGUGAGACCCCAAUACAGACCCAAUUAUUGUCACCAACCUUUCAACAUGUUAGAACAUUUAAUGACUAACCUGCUUUCUUACUUUAUGCACUAUAUCUUAACAUUCAAGUCAUAAAUUUGAACUGCAUCUUUGAUUUUAGAAUUGAUUUCCCUAAUUGCAUCCCCUCCUCCUUUGGUGGUAGACAAUAACAAAACUGUUUUACUUAUCUCUUGCUACAUAGAGUCCUGAAGCGCGCUUCCUCAUCCCAUGCGUCAAAGAUGGGAUCCCUUGAUUUUGGUCCAGCGGCUAAGCUUUUCUUUUCUCUUGAGAGAGAUCCAAAUCAAUUGCAACCAACUCAAGGGUCCUUCCUAGUAAAGCAAUAAGCAGCCUAGAUUGGCUGAAAUUCGGUGUUGUAUUGGGUAAGGUUUCCCAUGUGAGAAUUUAUUCAUGUACUUUGGAUGUAAUCUCCAACAUAUUUAAGAGUUGUACGACAAUUAAGGCUAAAAGGUCACGGGAAAAAUGUUACCAGUAAACAAAGCAGUUGUGUCUUGGACAGAAGCACCACCUAGAGCGAUUGAGCAGGACAGAACCUGGACAGGACUUAGACGCGCAUAGCAGGAUUAGUCAUGUGUUGGUCUGUAAUAAUUGAAAAAAAAAAAAAAAAGAGGAAAAGGGGAGGGAAACGAUGCCGUUUUAAAGAGGAGAAAACAACGUCGUUUUGCAGAUGGGAGAAAACGACGUCCUUUUGAAAAAGAAAAAACGACAUCGUUAUGCAAGGGGGAAUACGACGCCGUUUUGAGGAAACUGGUGGGAUAUAAAUAGGGGGCGGGGAAGGAAGGAAAAAAAAAGGAAAGAAAAAGAAAAAAAAGGACAAAGAACAGAGGAAGAAGGGGGCAGGAAAGAGAAAGAGGAGAGGAAGGAAGGUUCCAGAAGGAGAGAGAAGGGAAGUGGAGCGAAGAGAAGAGGAGACCGCGGAAGGUGAUAGCGCGAUCGACAGGAAGAAGGAAGAAGGAAGAUGGAAAUGGGAGGUACGGUAAUAUAUUUCAAAUACGUGUGUUGAUUUGAGAUUUGAAAUGUGGAUGAGAAAUUUGAAGGUGUGGUGUGUGUUUGUGAAUACUUACGGAGGUGGCAGUGUACGGAGGAGGCGGUGUAGGGUAAGUGUGGGCGAUAAGGCGUGUGGAAGGAAGUUGGCCGCGUGAGAACCGCGGGAGGAGAGAGAAAGAAGGUGACGGUGCGGGGGAGGUCCGAGAGAGAUGGAGGAGUGUGGAGUGAGUGGAGGCCAGGAGAGAGAGAGGUUGGCAGUGCGAGUGGAAUCCGAGAGAGAGGUAAGGGUGGGGAGUGAGUGGAGGCCGAGAGAGAGAGAGAGGUUGGCGGUGUGAGUGGAGUCCGAGAGUGAGGUAAGGAUGUGGAGUGAGUGGAGGCCGGGAGAGAGAGAAGGGUUGGCGGUGUGAGUGGAGGCCGAGAGAGAAGUAGGGGUGUGGAGUGAGUGGAGGCCGAGAGAGAGAAAGAUGUGCGAUGUUAGUGAGUGGUGUGAGAGGGAGCUGGAUUGUGUGAGCGACGCGGGAGGAGAGAGAAAGAUGUAGUGGCUAUGAGGACGAAGUCCGAGAGAGAGGUAGGGAGGUGAAGUGAGUGAAAGCCGGGGGAGGGAAGGAUCCGCGGCGGGAGUGAGGUACAUGAGGGAGUGGAGUGGGAUUGCUGGAGCCUUGGGGUGUAGGCAGUGUAAGUAGAGUCCGUGGCGGCAGGGGAAAGACGGCGUGAGUGGGGACUCCUAGAGUAUGUCGUAGGUAGGGGGCAAAGAGGAGCAGUGGGAGAGAAUGAUCAGCGUGUGUGUGCGUGGCCCGUUAGGGGUCGGUAGGGGGACGAUGGUUGCCGAGGUUGGUGACGAAAGUGAAUGAAACUGGUAUGCGUGCGUGGCCUGGUAGAGGUCGAGAGGUAGCUGAUGGUCGCCGAUGUUGGUGACGGGAGAGAAUGAUCAGAGUGUGUGUGUGUGGCCUGGUAGGGGUCGAUAGGUGGUUAAUGGUCGCCGAUGUUGGUGACGGGAGAGAAUGAUCGGAGUGUGUGUGUGGCCCGAUAGGGGUCGGUAAGUGGAUGAUGGUCGCCGAUGUUGGUACGAAAGUGAAUGAAAAUAGUGUGCGUGCGUAGCCCAGUGGGGGUCGAGAGGUGGUUAAUGGUCGCUGAUGUUGGUGACGGGAGAGAAUGAUCGGAGUGUGUGCAUGUGGCCCGAUAGGGGUCGGUAGGUGGAUGAUGGUCGCCGAUGUUGGUGACAAAAGUGAAUGAAAAUAGUGUGCAUGCGUGGCCCAAUGGGGGUCGAUAAGUGGUUAAUGGUCGUCGAUCUUGGUGGUGGGGGGCAUCACUGGCACGCCUGGGGUGGCGUUGGGGGACGGAAACCAAGGGUAUGUAGGACUGUGGGAUACCGGGGGGGGUACUUGGGUUAAGUAGUGAACCGGUGGUAGAGGCAUGGGGUUUUAUAUUGUUGCAUCUCACACCUGUGUUUUGAUAUUUACUGUACUGUGUUAGAUGAACUCACUCUUUACUCUUUACAGAUGAUGUAGGAACAGAGUCCGGAUCGAAGUUGCUGGCGUCCGAACCUAGUGUGUAAAAUAACAGGAUAAAGAUUUUCGUUUCUUUUGGCAGAAUAGAAUGUGUAACAAUUGAUGGCAGCAUAGAUAUUGAGUACGGUUGUAUUGUAUGAGAUGUCUUGUGCAUGAUAGUAGGUUUAUCUGAAUCAUUGAAUAAGGGAUCGUGAUAGUGUUUCCUUGUGCAUGACCGAUUAAUUAUGGAAUUAGUUGUUUGGUUGAUUACGCCCUAAACGUGAAAAGAAGGAAAAAAAAAAAUGGGCGUUACAUGAUCUUUGCACAGCUGCUGGUGUGCAACCAAGGAGGCUAGGUGCAUGGCUAUAACAGGGUUGCCCAAGCAGGGACUGUGCAGGUGUAGGCUUGCCGUUCUUAAUGACUGGCGACUGGAGACUGGCAGCUGAGCAAUUCCUUUUUGUUGCUUCUGGCCAUGAGGUUUUUGCAGCUAGGGCCAGUUAUGAAGGUCAUCUUGUGUUGGAGAUGGUCAGUCUGUGGUGGUUAGCAGUUAGAGAUGUAAC